rnacentral:tRNA from 1 species
UGGUCCGUUGGUCAAGCGGUACGACACUGUCCUUUCACGGCAGGAUCGUAGGGUUCGACUCCCACACGGAUCAU